AAGAUUCUGAAAUUUAACCAGCACAUUAGAGAUAAAAAUCAAGAUCAGCUAUGUGAACUGUCGAUGAUAAGGGAAUCAAGCGAUCCAAACAUCCUUAGCAAAAGGGCAGGAGAAGAGUAGAUGAGUAGUGGUUUCCUCUUCCUUGCAUCUUGGGCAGCAGAUGUCUGACAUUACUCCACGACUUCUUAGGAAAUAAAGAACAAAUAUAGUUUCGCCAUAUCAGGGUGAUCGUGGAUCAGCCAUUCUCUUUGAUUCGAGCAAGAUUUCUACGUCUUUGAUCAUUUAGUUGACAGUGUCAGGUGCAGACUGCACCGUGCAGUUGAUCAAUAAGCAAGAUCAUGUUUUGAUGGACUGUAAAGAAGUGAUGAGAAGAAAGAAAGUAUUACUUUAAGAAUUCAGAAAAUGAGAAGAGAACAAAAAUGGGUUCUUUGAAAAAGAAAGCCAUCAAUGCCUCUACUAAACUCAAGCACUCUCUCAAGAAGGUAAAAAGAAGAAAAAUAGAAGGCUGAGUCAGCUCGGUCUCCGUUGAAGAUGUUCGUGAUGUCGAGGAUUUUCAAGUAGUUGAAGAGUUUAGACAAGCCUGGCCAUGGACGAGUUGCUAUUAUGACUAUCACAUUAUAAGAGGUUCUUAAAGGCAAGGAAAUUGGACAUUGAGAAAGCAAAGCAAAUGUACUGAUCUCUCUGGUGGAAAGAGAAGGAGAAGGAGAAGUCUCAGAGGAGAGGAGAGGAGAGGAGAGCGCAAAGGAUGUGUCCUCUGACAGUAGAGAAGGUGCUUUGGUUCCAAAAGCAUUGGGAUUCGAUUUAAGUACAUAGAUAUACAUUGCAGCUCGUGAUAUAUAUAGGAUCUAUCUCAUUUUUAAGAAAAUAGCUCGACCACAAGAUAUUCAAGGAGCUACUGGAGUUUCAUCACAACAAGCAUGUGGGAUCAGUUUGCAAUAGCUGUCAAGGAAACUCCUGAGAGAAGAACAUGAACACCAACACAUCGAAGAACUGUUUUUUUUAAGUAUCUAAGAGUAAUCUCUUAUAAACCUAAGGAGGAAUAUUACUUUUACGCAGACCUUCAUUAACUUCUUUGUGAAGGUACAAAUUGCCAUGACAUAUUUGGUCACUGAAAUUCCAGUCAUGUUUUUAUCUCAUUGCCUCAGAAAGAGAACAAAAAACUUGAAAAUGUGCUGCGUAAAUAAGUAGUUCAUUCCCCGAAUUUUUUUUUCCAUUUUUGUCCUAGGCUUU